UAUAAGAGCCAAUUACGUUUGAUUACUACAAAGCAGCUUAUUCUAGUGGUAUGUUUUGGCGAGGUUAUUCUCAUUGUGGCAGUUGACUCAGGUCAAUCACUUCAUCUAUUUAAGUAGUAUGAAUCCCGUGGACUCUGCAGGACAUUAUUUUAAAUGUGCCUUUACUAGCGAUAUAGAUAUUUUAUCUCAUGUCACGUGGCUAGGUACAAACAAUUUAUACGCUUUA